GUCUAUGGCAAUACCACCCAGAACAGGCCAAUCUUAUCUCAGGAGCUAAGCAAGGUUGGCCCUAGAUAGUAAGGAUGGGAUAUCUUGGAUGGGAGACUGCCUGGGAAUACUGGGUGUUGUAGUCU
rnacentral:rRNA from 1 species